ACGGAAGGCAGCAGUGGGGAAUAUUGGGCAAUGGGCGCAAGCCUGACCCAGCAACGCCGCGUGAAGGAAGAAGGCCUUCGGGUUGUAAACUUCUUUUAGGUGGGACGAAGAACGUGACGGUACCACCAGAAAAAGCAACGGCUAACUACGUGCCAGCAGCCGCGGUAAUACGUAGGUUGCAAGCGUUGUCCGGAUUUACUGGGUGUAAAGGGCGUGUAGGCGGAGCUGCAAGUCAGAUGUGAAAUCCCGGGGCUCAACCCCGGAACUGCAUUUGAAACUGUAGCCCUUGAGUAUCGGAGAGGCAAGCGGAAUUCCUAGUGUAGCGGUGAAAUGCGUAGAUAUUAGGAGGAACACCAGUGGCGAAGGUGGCUUGCUGGACAGUAACUGACGUUGAGGCACGAAAGCGUGGGGAGCAAACAGGAUUAGAUACCCUGGUA
rnacentral:rRNA from 1 species